AAAAGGACAUUAGCUAGCUCAGCAAGGAGCAGCUUAGCCAGCGGCACCCUACCUACCGCUUCCAAUCAUGCCCAUCCAUUCGCCCACCUGGUGGAAUCUUAUCAGCAUCAGGCCUCAUCGAACCAUCCUUUCUUUUUAGACGAGGGCAAUCUGUUCAUGUCAACCUCUCUCGAAACUCCUCGCGGACACGCCACGCCUCUUAGUUAGUGAUGGGAUUGGCAUUAAGAGGCGAUAUAGUCCCCGUUCUGCUGAAAUAAUAUCAUGAGUAGAUUCGGGUUUGCAGGGCUACUUGCGUUAAAUUGUUGGAGAAAGAUUUCAUCACUCCUUGCAGAUUAAAAUUGUAUCAGACUACAGAUGAUCCAUCUGAGAGAAGGGUAAGCUUUCUCUCUCGUUUUAUCUCAGGAGUCAAGCUUCGGUCCAAUUUUCAGCUAUCAAGCCAUCCAUAGUUCCGGAUGAAUGAAUCGAUGUAAUUGCCUAUAUGCGUAUAUGUUUCUAUGGGCAGUGGCAGCCCUAUGUGGAAACAAUAUGUCAAUGGGAAUGGUACUCUUUUGUUUUUGAUCUGAGAGAGUAAAAAGGGACAAAUAUAAGUAC
rnacentral:sRNA from 2 species